ACUUUGCUUUAUCAGUGCAGCUGCUUGGGUACUACGAGCGAGUGCUUAAAACUCAAAGAACUUGGCGGCUUGUUAACUACCUAGGGGAAUAUGCGCCUUAAUCCGAUGGUCCCCGACAUAUCUUACUGAGUCUUGAAAAAGUGCAGCUGGUGUAUUGCCGUUGUCAGCUUGUUGUUUGAGCAGAAAGAAACAGGCUUAAUGGACUUUGAUGAUAAGGCUCUCAAAGCUCCAUGAAUUCAGGUCGUAAUACUGCCUAUGGCUCAAGGGAGUGGGUGUUACAAUUCAUAUUUUGAAUUACGGAUCUUAAUUGUGGAAUCUUUUAGUGAAGGUGAACUUAGGAGUAAGGAGGGAUUAAUAUGCCUUCCUGAACAUGAAUCUAACUCGUGUACAAACUGCCCGUCGCUCUCGGCGAGAGCUGAGAU
rnacentral:rRNA from 1 species